AUACGGAGGGUGCAAGCGUUGUUCGGAAUUACUGGGCGUAAAGCGCGCGCAGGCGGUCUAGUAAGCAGUGGGUGAAAUUCCAGGGCUCAACCCUGGGGCUGCUCGCUGAACUGCUAGACUAGAGUACGGGAGAGGGCAGUGGAAUUCCUGGUGUAGCGGUGGAAUGCGUAAAUAUCAGGAAGAACACCCGUGGCGAAGGCUGCUGCCUGGAACGUUACUGACGCUGAGGCGCGAAAGCUAGGGGAGCGAACGGGAUUAGAAACCCCAGUAGUCC
rnacentral:rRNA from 1 species